rnacentral:rRNA from 1 species
UACGAAGGGGGCUAGCGUUGCUCGGAAUUACUGGGCGUAAAGCGCACGUAGGCGGUCUUUUAAGUCGGGGGUGAAAUCCUGGAGCUCAACUCCAGAACUGCCUUCGAUACUGGAAGACUUGAGUCCGGGAGAGGUGAGUGGAACUGCGAGUGUAGAGGUGAAAUUCGUAGAUAUUCGCAAGAACACCAGUGGCGAAGGCGGCUCACUGGCCCGAAACUGACGCUCAUGCACGACAGCGUGGGGAUCAAACAGG